UGUCUAUCAUCCUCCCACUGAGUACUAUGGAGUGUCUAUCAUCCCCCACUGAGUACUAUGGAGUGUCUAUCAUCCCCCACUGAGUACUAUGGAGUGUCUAUCAUCCUCCCACUGAGUACUAUGGAGUGUCUAUCAUCCCCCACUGAGUACUAUGGAGUGUCUAUCAUCCUCUCACUGAGUACUAUGGAGUGCAUACUUGUUAUCUGUCACUUUUGCUUGACUGACUGUGUUCCUACUCCAGAUUUAUUAUUCCAUGGUGGCUUAAAGUAUCAAAAGAUAUCCUAGGGAUAUCUUUUGUGCUACAAAAUCAUCUCAAGAUAACCUCAAGAUAAGGACUCUGCCAACCGCCUUCCACAUAUUUCGUGGUGGUCGUCAUGGUGGUAAACCACACAUUAAUGCGAGCAAUGGGACCAACCCCGACCCGCCCAUGAUAGCCCCCAACCUUACAUCAUUCCCCAUGCAAAGUUAUACCAGGCUAGCCCCUCAAAGGGUCUGCCCACUAACUUCGGACAGAUACAGUCAUUUUUCGUGUAGAGAUAUAUUUGGUUUUAAGGAACAUUUUACGCACGUGAACUAAUGCUCUCUUUAUUUCUCUCUCUGUUUUGCAGAUUCCGACAAGAAGGACGCAGCACUCAAAGCCGGCGGUCAAGUCGCCCGCGGGCGGUUCCGUCACGAGCCUUACCGUCGCUUGGCCGUCAAUGUGCCAUCAUAAGAUGUUCUCCCAGUGCUCUACGGUGUCCUUGAAGUCCUGUGAGACCUUCUAAGCUUCUGUGUGGUCUCCUCCCCCUGGGGUUCUGUGGUUCUCCCGAGGCCUUGUGUGAUGCCCCUGAGGUUCUGUGUAGGGUUCUGCAGGGCAAUCCAGGUGCUCACCUGUACCUCCAGGCGUUUUCCAGUACCCUUGAGCUGCCUCCGGGUUCUACUACGAACUGCUUUUGAGAUGUCUCGUGGACUCUUGCAGGUGACUUUUUUUGUACCUUCAGGAGCACCCAGGUGCCCUCAGGCGCCCUCGGGUGCUACAAGGAGCCUUCAUGUGUACCUUCAGGAGCACCCAGGUGCCCUCAGGCGCCCUCGGGUGCUACAAGGAGCCUUCGUGUGUACUGUUGUGGUCCCUCUCGCCCUGUGACUUUGUUUCGUAUUAGUAAAUCAAAUAAAAGAAACAAAUAGACAAAUGUGUUGCCUGAAGAGAAGAGAAAGGGGAAAAAAAUAACAAUGUUCAAGAUGAAAUAAAGUUGAAGAAACGUGAAAAUCAAAUGAAUACAAACAUAAGGGGAAAAAAUGAACAAGGCAAUGACAACAUUGCUGGAACUUAACUACACAACAACGAAAAUGGGGCAAAAAAAAUAGGUUGUCAACGUUUCUGAAACAUAUAUACAACGUUAAGAGAAAAUAAGAUGCAAAUACGGAGUAAUAAAUCGUGAUAAAGUAACAAGAUCGCUGAUAAAGUCUUUGUGGGGUGAUAAUCAUGAUUUUCUUGAGGAAUAGGGGCUUCUGUAUAUAUAUAUAUACACACAUGUAUAUUCUUGAAGAAUUGAUGAAUGAUUUACUAGUGGUGAGUUACACCUGAUGCUCUCUCCCAAGGAGUUCACAUGAACAAUGAGAACAGUUAUCAUUUCAGAGAUGUGAACGUUCCAAAUGUGGUGAAACUGAGCUUUGGUGAUAUCUUGCUUGUGGGCGCCUUUGGUGGAAGAGGAAGGUGACGUUGUCUUGCGUGAGGGAGGUGUGAGGACACUGUGUCAGGAAAAUAUCCCGAGGAAAAGAGGAUGAAGCAGUUUAUCACCUACUGCUUCAAGUUAAAUAUAAACAGCCUGUUACAAUUCUAGGCUGUUCAGCUAGCCAGCCAGCCAGCCAGCCAGCCACUCAGCCAGUCAGCCAGCCAGCCAAGCAACCACUCAGCCAGUCAGCCAGCCAGCCAGCCAGUCAGUCAGCCAGUCAACCACUCAGCCAGUCAGCCAGCCAGCCAGCCAGCCAGUCGCUCAAGGUACUAUUGUUGAACACAAAGCAGGUUUGAGUUAGAAUGCUACAGCAAGAUGUUACAUAUGCCACAGACAGACAUAAAGAUUGCCUCACCAAUCCUUAUGUUCACUUCCACAGCAAAAUGCAUACACGAGUCCCACGGCAAAAUGUAUGAAGUGUCUGUUGAAAAAUGUAUGAGAGUGUCUAGAGCAGGACAAAUACGGUCCAAGAGCUCUAGCUCUUAGAGCUCCAGCUCUCCAGCGAGAGCUCUAGCUCUCCAAGAGCCCUAGCUCUUGGAGCCCGCUUUUCUAGCCGUUGGUUGUCUAAUGCAAUGACCCCUGACCUAUCUCCCUGUGUGUGUGUCGACAGCUGCAACAGACUCGUGAAGUAGAAAUUACAGAUGAAUGGAAAUUGUGUAGACAUUUCUACAACUGCCUGUGUGGGGAUUGUGCUGGUGUGGCAGCUAUUGUACACCCGACUGUUGUUGCUGGUGUGGGGUAGCCAUGUGAGGAUGGAAGCAGCAGUGAAGGAAUGUGAAGAAGGAGGUUGUGAAGGAAGGGAACGAGGGAGCACUCCCAGAGGCGUCGCCCAGACCUCUUAAAGAGACUCAUGCACUCAUGUUUCUGGAUUCACAAACUUACAAUCACUAUCUAAACUCUAUAUUUCUAUCUCGUGUAAAUAGACCCUCUUUCCCCCUCAUUAAGGUAGACUGAAGUAUAUCUUUCACAGUCGAAGUAGACAUGUAGAGAAAUAAGUACUUUUUGGAGUGUCUUGUAGGAGGUUUUGAGAUUAAAGUGUAUCUUAUUAACAGAGAUAUAAAAAAAACCUCUUUUGGAGAACCUGGAUACACCGUCACGGCUUAAAGUGACACGCUCUUAUCACUUCCUCGUUCUGCCAAUUGCGGGUUUUAAGCUUUUGAGGUUUUUUAGGAAACUCUUAGAACACUCUUUGAGUAGACUAGAUUCUAGAGUUUUAUUGGAAAUAAGAAACUUUUUUUUUUUUCAUUUGUUUGAGUGCAUUUCAGAUAUUUAUAACUGACAUACAGGUGAGAGAAUUCUGCUUUGCAGCUUUUUCCAAGAAUUUAUAUUGUAAAGAGAAUGAAUUAAACAUAUCGUAUAUUACCGAUAUAGAAACGUAGCAGUAGUUAAGAUGCAUUUGAUAUUUCUUGAAGUUCUUCUGAGCUGUAUUAUGGCCUUCACGUGACGGACAAAUCUAUAUAAUUUGUUAUAAGGCUUAGACGCUUAUAGCGCGUUUCAUAAAGUGGAGCAGAGACGGGAAGGCGUUGGAGGACCCCCCCCCCCCCCUUGUUAAGUCAAGACGCAGGUCCGACCACAAACUAUCACCUUCCGUGAGUCGGUGAGAACGUGGACCGUCCCUCAUUCCUUUGGUUUGUGGGAGCAGGCGUGAUCUCGUUCUUGGUGUGUGUGCUUGAAGGUACGAGCGGGAAACUGACUUCGCUAUCCUUGGCUUCCAGGAAGUGAGAGUAGAUUGACCUCACUGUUUCGUGUGUUCAAGAUAAGAAAGCCUGCUUGAUCUCGUUCUCUGGGUUCCAGGAAGCGAUUCAGGAACUCACGUUUAAGUAACUCCUCGCGGGGUCUGAUAUGGAGUGGCUUCUUUUGGACGGACUUGUGAAACCCUUCGUUGCUGAAAAAAAGUUCCUUAGGGUACAGUACAAGGGUUCUAUGACGCAAUUACACAAACAUUACACACAUUUAUGUACAUGGUUUCAAAGCCAUAAUCAAAUACACUAGUGAUCGAUGCCGGGGGUCAGCUGUAUUGGGGUUUCGAAGCCAGAGUUAGUUACAGUUAUACCAGGCUUCGAAGCCAACAACAGCUGCACCGGACAUUCAGACGAGAAUCAAACAAAGAGUCAGACUCAAGCCCUGACCAAGCCAUCCGUAAGACAGCUUCAUCCCUCGAUGGGGCACAAAAAAUAAACAAAACACGGGCUGUAAAUCAUAAAAAAGAGUAUUCCCUUUUGUCCUAUAUAUAUAUAUAUAUUUAUAUAUAUUUACAUAUAUAUAAAUAUAUAAUGUAUAAUAUUUUUAGAGUGUACAUUAGUAUGCCUUGAAAGAGCGUAUAGGUCCCAAGUGCCCUCUAGUGUCGGCGAGUCAUCAGUCUAUUUGGGUUUAAUUUUAGACGAAGAGAAAUAUACUGUAGGUGUGUUGAUAAUAUUAUACUUUUUGCUCCUUACAUAUGUAAUAUAGGUUCUUGUUGUGUUGUGUACAUAAUGUAAUUGACAGCUGUUGCGGCUCACAUUGACCUCUAAAGCUAGCGAUCAAACAUUAUUUGCUGCAGUUUUUGUGUGUUAAAUCAAGUAUAUUACAACAUUCCAAAAUAUUUCGUCGUUUGUUUUGUGAUUGAAGUAUUUAUAUUAAAAAAAAAAAGGUUCAGAUUUAUUUCAUACGCUUAUUCAAGUUUUUUUUUCUUCCACGCCAGAAGUUAAAAUGCAAAUAUCAAAAAUGUAUUUGGAAAUUUUUGUAUUUUGUACAACAGAGGCAUAAUGAAUAGCCGGGAGACACGACGCCUUUGACAGUAUGUCUGUCUUAAUAAAAUAUAUAUUUCUAUUUCUCGUUCUCUAUAUAUAUAUUUACACGCUCUCUGUCUUUCUCUCUCUCUCUCUUUGUCUCUCUCUUUCCCUCUCUCUUUCCCU
rnacentral:lncRNA from 1 species